ACUCUGCCUGUCCCCUGGGCUGAGUCAGUUGCUAGGAGACCAAGUGGGCGGAGCUUAGCCUUCUAACUGGCAGCAAUUGGAUAAAAACAAUUAUUCCUCUCCCUCCAAUUAGGACUUUAUUUUUCUUUUCUUUUUGUUGUAUGAACGCAGAGGCAUGGAUGAGGGGUUGUGCUGCCAAGUUUAGUGUUUCUGGGAUGUGUAGUUUUGUUGUUUUGUCCUAGGCCGAAAUUUCAUUACCCUUUUAUAUAUAUAGAUUAAUAAUGCUGCAUUUUAUCACUCUGAUUUAUCCAUGUCGUAUGCCACCUUGAGCUGCAAGGAGAGGCAGAUAAUAAAAAAUCUGUUGUUAUUUCUAUUUCCCAGGGAUUUCCUUCCCAACCAUGCAGCUGUGCUAACUGUUAUGCAGUCAACUUGGGGCCGGUGGCCUUAAAAGACUCCAGCACUUUUACCCCGCCUUCUCGCCCGAGGGGACUUUUGUUGAUUUGAAGCAAAGGUUCUAUAGAUACCACCAUGAAGGAAAACAGAAAGACUCUCCCCUCCAGGCCUGGCAAAGAAAGAGAGCUUCCUAUAGCUGUCUGUCUGGCUGGCUGGCUGUCUACUCUUUCUUCUUACACUCCUCAUUCUGUCCUGAAAAACACCGCUCUCUAGUGGACAUCCUGAAGAAUGCAACCAGGCAGGAAUCCCUGCAAUGCUUUCCUGAUGAUGGUUUCUGACAAUGGACACUUCAGUUGGAUCUACACUGCCAUAUAAUCCAGUUUCAAAUCGCAGAUUAACUGCACAGAACUGGAUUAUGUGAGUUUCCAUUGCCAUUUAAUCCAGUUCAUUCUGAAUUCUGAAACUGGAUUUAAUGGCUUAUGAAAAGAUGCAUCUUAGAACAAUCUUCUGCCUAUCUCACUAUUUUAUUCUGCAGUGACUAGAGAGACUCUAGCCGCAAGAUCUGGAUGCUUGUUUCCAGUCAACACGUGAUGUUUGAAGGGUAUUCACUAAAAACAUGCAUGGUUUCCAGAGCCGAACGUGUUGUGACUUGGUCACAUGGACUAACCUCGUUCUCAGUAUGCCAACCACUCCCUUGCCCUCCACUGCCAUACACACAUAAAGCCAUAGCAGGAGAGAACCUAGAGACAAUCACAAUCUCAGCUACUGGAGAGAAACUCUGUAUUAGUCUAUGCAAUGGACUUUGUCUUACCAAAAGCAUCUGCCACAAGCUAGAAGACAAGAAGCACAGCUCCAUAAAAUAUCUACCAUAGAGACAUAAAACUGGAAGUUGUCCCAUGGGCCAUCAAGUGGUUCAUGUAGUUGGAGGUCCUGCUUAAUACAGGACCUCCAGCUACAGCAGUGGUUCUCAACCUGUGGGUCCCAGAUGUUUUGGCCUACAACUCCCAUAAAUCUCAGCCAGUUCACCAGAUGUUAGGAUUUCUGGGAGUUGAAGACCAAAACAUCUGGGGACCCACAGGUUGGGAACCACUGAGCCAUAGCAUUCCCAACCUGUGCGGUCUGUUCUUGAAGACAUCCAAAAAAGGAGAUCCCCUCACCUCUCUAAGCACUUGGUUCAAUUUCCAAACUACUCUUACUAUCAAAUGUUCAAUCAAAAUCUACCCUCCUAUAACUUCCAACCAUUAGACCUGGUCUUCUCCUUGGGAGAAGCAUGGAACAGGCAUCCACUUCUUCUCUAUGACAAUACUUCUAUUCCCCAACCUGAAUAUGCCUAGAUGCUUCAGCCUUUCCUCAUAAUAUCUGUUCUCCAUAACUCGUCUCAUCAUCCUUGCCCUUCUUGGAACCUGUUCCAACUUUAUUGUGUCCUGUUUAAAAUGAGGUGCCCAGAACUGAACACAGCAUUCCAGAUGAAGCCUGACUAGCCUCAUGAAAUAAAACAGCCUCAAGUAGAAAUGACCUUUUCCCAGUGGUGUUUAAUAUUAUGUAAUGAUUUUUUUAUAUUGACUAACAUAUUUUUUACUAACUAAAACCUUCCAAGUAUUAAUCGGGUGGAAACAUCAUGUUAUUUUUUAAGACAAAGUGCUUUUGAAAGGCCCCUAAAGGCAGGGAUCACCUUAGAUGAUACAUUACUUUUUAAAAAUAUGUACACAGAGAGGGAAUGGUUCUCCCAAAUGGGUGCCUUUUAUGGUAGAUGUCAGUGUCAUAAACUAUGCUGCUGCCUUUAAAAUGAUCCUGCUCAUUUGCAAAUUUGGGCACAUUUUGUAAGUUAUUGAAUCCAUAGCAUUAAUUGACAAAGUCUUCCUUAAUAAGGUGUCAGCCUUAACAUGAUUGGUCAGACAUGGGCAGCAGAGUAUGUGCUCCUAAUAUCUAGGAGGCAGAAUAUGAACAUCAGCAUCUCUGUGUGUGCAAAGUACGAGGAGAAGAAAUUAAGCAUUUGUCUACACAGGGCCCUGACUGUCUUCAAGACUAGUGUGAUUGCAAGGACAAGUCACUCUGUCUCUGCAUGAGAGGACAGGAUUGGUAAAUCCCCUCCGAACAAAUCUUGCCAAGAAAACUCCAUGAUAAAGUCUUAGGAUUCCUUAGAGUUGCCACAAGUCAAAAUUAUUUGAAGGUACACAUUCCACUUCAAUAAGAGUUACUGAGUAAGAAAUGCUGGACAGAAUGAAUCACGAGACAAUACAGGUCUAGACAGUGAGAGAAUAACUAAGCACUCACCUAAUGCUUAUAUGGUAACCCACCUCCAACGAGGAGUAUAGCACAGAGCACAUGUUUUGCAUACAAAAGGCCCCAUGUUCAAUACACAGGAAGACAUCUCUCUGGGUAUAAGGUUUUGCUAGUAUGGAGGGUGUGUGUGUGUCCAAUUGUGGUUGUCCGAAUGAGACCAUAAUACAGCUUCCAUUACUCCAAUUUAGCAUAGCUCAUAGUGAGACUGGACAGAAAUUCUGGUCCAAAAACAUCAAAAGGUGUCAAACUUGUGGCCCUCCAGAUUUUUGGGCAUCCAACUCCCAGAAGCCCUAGCCCAGGCCUCUUCAACCUGUAGCCCUCUGGGUGUUUUGGACUUCGGCUCCCAGAAUUCCUGACCAUUGCACAAGCUGGCUAGGGUUUUUGGGACACCUGGAAGGCCAUAGGUUGAAUAGGCCUGCCCUAGUCAGUUGUCCAAUGCCCAGGAAUUCUGGGAGCUGAAGUCCAAAACACUUGGGUCACACAUUUGACACCACAGUUCUUCCUAAUGUUCAGGUGGAAUCUCCUUUCCUGUAGUUUGAAGCCAUUGUUUUACAUCCUAGUUUCCAGGGCAGCAGAAAAGGAGCUUGCUCCCUCCUCCCUAUGACUUCCCCGCAGAUAUUGAUGCAUGGCCAUCAUCAUGUCUCCUCUCAGCCUUCUCUUCUGCAGGUUAAACAUUUCCAGCUCUUUAAGCCACUCCUCAUAGUAUUUGUUCUCCAAACCAUUGAUCAUUCAACCCACUUACCAAUUUUCUAAUUAAAAGAAGUAGGAUGGAAAGGUGUGGACAGAGAAUUGGGGGACAUUUUGCAAAUGAUUUUUUAUCAUAUCUUUUUUUUCUAUUUCUACACACAAACACACAUUUCUAGUAUGAACCUUGACAAUGAUAGAAAAAUAGAAGCCAUUUAUUUGAAGAUGACACUUGUUCACAGAGAAACCUGAUCAACAAAGAAUUUUCCUCCGAAUCUUUUUAUUACUUCUGUGAAUCAAAAUGAACCCACCUUAAUCAAGACACCUUGAAAAGCACCCAGUGUCAAUCAUUUUGGAAAGAACAGCUCUGUUGAAAUAUGGAAGGACAACAUUCCUUGUAUGCCAUCUUUCUUAAUUCUAUGCAACAAACCUCUUUUAAACCCAAUUAUUUGAGAUGAUCUUGACCACUUUUUAAUGAUGUGUUGAAAUUCAUUUCUUAUGUUAACUUGUAUUAAACACACAAUUUGGGAUCUUUAAAAUAGAUAAAAUAAGCUAAUAGAUUAUUUAAAGGCUGCCUGUUUACUGCUUUCAAAAGAGCAUAAUCAUCAUUUUUAAAAAUAACAGAUAUUGGUGACAUCUCAGUGGGAGUGCUAGUUACAGAUUCAAACUCUUAAAAAAAUAAAAGGAAACACUGGACAGGGAUCAGAGGGCAGCAGAGGAAAUUUUAAAAAAGGGGUAUGGUGAGUUGAGAAGGCCUUAGGUGUAAAGAAAGUGGAAAGGCAUGUUUACUCACAGUAAGAGAAGAUUUAGAAUAGACAGGAUACAUUCAAGGGAUGCUAUUAAAAACUCAGGCAAUCAACUGCUGAGAAGACCAAGGUUGGGAGUUUUGUAAACACACUGGAUAAACAUCUGUCAAGGGUAGUUUAUGUACCAGUAAUCCUAUCUCAGAUUAAGGAGCAGUUGGUCUAGAGGUUCAUUUCAAGGUGCCCUCCAAGCCUAAAACAUUAUCAUUCCAGAAUUACUUAACUGAACCUGUGAUAUGGUUACCACUGUGGAAGUGUACAUUUUAUCUGUAAGUUGUGUGUAUGUAUAUUUAGAUGUACAUAUGUAUAAUAAAGAAAGCGAUAAAGAAAGCGAAAGCA